ACCUGGAGCCGCCAAUGCUCUCGCGCUGUGGGUGUACUGAGCGGCAGGCUCUGAAGGGGCCUUCGCGUCACGAAGAGGACGGACCCGCGGCCUUCCCCUGCCGCCUCAAGGGCGGCUGCAAACAGCAGCGACGUCUGCGCAGAGCGCGGAGCGCCGAGCAACAGCAAUGGCGGCCCGGCAGCGCCAUCCUCUCCUGGCCUUGCCGCGCAGCCGGCAUUCAGCACCCGCCUCAGCGCCUCCGCCAUUUGCUGAGUGCCGCUGACCAAUCAAAAGCGAUAUCUCAUCUUGGGCCCGCCCACACAGAGGCCUCAUUGGCUAUAGUUCACAGACUAAGUUCGUCGCUGGAGCUGUCAGCCAAUGAUCAAAACACGGAGCGUGGAGGAAGUGGGUACUUUGAGGGAAUUGCUGCAAGAAGCCGUGUGAUCGAUUAAAAGGAAAGGAAGGUCGAGGGUCCAAACGUGCUCCAAAGAGACGCCCAGGCUCUAGGUCGGAGCUGUAGAGAAUGGCUCAGUCGUUACGAGCACUGGCUGCUCCUCCAAAAGACCCGGGUUCAGUUCCCACCAUCUACUAGGUGAUUCACAGCCAUGCACAAGUACAGUGUGAGGGAAUCCGACGCCCUCUUCUGGACUCCGCGGACACGUGGCACCCAUAUAUUUAUGGCCCCGCGCUUAUACACACACUCAUGUAAAAAUAAAUCUAAACAUUAAAAAAAGUAGAAGCCGG